GCACUGUUGAGGAGUCCCACAAGAGGACGAAACGGCUGUCCAGUGC
rfam:Schistosoma haematobium scaffold474_40, whole genome shotgun sequence.